AGUGAACGCUGGCGGCAGGCCUAACACAUGCAAGUCGAACGGCAGCACAGUAAGAGCUUGCUCUUACGGGUGGCGAGUGGCGGACGGGUGAGGAAUACAUCGGAAUCUACUUUUUCGUGGGGGAUAACGUAGGGAAACUUACGCUAAUACCGCAUACGACCUACGGGUGAAAGCAGGGGAUCUUCGGACCUUGCGCGAUUGAAUGAGCCGAUGUCGGAUUAGCUAGUUGGCGGGGUAAAGGCCCACCAAGGCGACGAUCCGUAGCUGGUCUGAGAGGAUGAUCAGCCACACUGGAACUGAGACACGGUCCAGACUCCUACGGGAGGCAGCAGUGGGGAAUAUUGGACAAUGGGCGCAAGCCUGAUCCAGCCAUACCGCGUGGGUGAAGAAGGCCUUCGGGUUGUAAAGCCCUUUUGUUGGGAAAGAAAAGCAGCAGGUUAAUACCCCGCUGUUCUGACGGUACCCAAGGAAUAAGCACCGGCUAACUUCGUG
rnacentral:rRNA from 1 species